rnacentral:rRNA from 1 species
GAUGAACGCUGGCGGCGUGCUUAACACAUGCAAGUCGAACGGAAAGGCCCAAGCUUGCUUGGGUACUCGAGUGGCGAACGGGUGAGUAACACGUGGGUGAUCUGCCCUGCACUUCGGGAUAAGCCUGGGAAACUGGGUCUAAUACUGGAUAGGACCACUUCUUGGAUGUUGUGGUGGAAAGUUUUUUCGGUGUGGGAUGAGCUCGCGGCCUAUCAGCUUGUUGGUGGGGUAAUGGCCUACCAAGGCGUCGACGGGUAGCCGGCCUGAGAGGGUGUACGGCCACAUUGGGGCUGAGAUACGGCCCAGACUCCUACGGGAGGCAGCAGUGGGGAAUAUUGCACAAUGGGCGCAAGCCUGAUGCAGCGACGCCGCGUGGGGGAUGACGGGCUUCGGGUUGUAAACUCCUUUCGCUAGGGACGAAGCGUUUUGUGACGGUACCUGGAGAAGAAGCACCGGCUAACUACGUG